UCACUCUCAACAACGGAUCUCUUGGCUCUCGCAUCGAUGAAGAACGUAGCGAAGUGCGACAAGUAAUGUGAACUGCAAAAUUCCGUGAAUCAUCGAAUCUUUGAACGCAAAUUGCACUCUCUGGCAACCCGGGGAGUAUGCCUGUUUGAGGGUCAGU
rnacentral:rRNA from 1 species